rnacentral:rRNA from 1 species
UCGUUUAUUUGAUAGUACCUUACUACUUGGAUAACCGUGGUAAUUCUAGAGCUAAUACAUGCUAAAAAUCCCGACUUCGGAAGGGAUGUAUUUAUUAGAUUAAAAACCAAUGCCCUCUGGGCUCUCUGGUGAUUCAUAAUAACUUCUCGAAUCGCAUGGCCUUGCGCCGGCGAUGGUUCAUUCAAAUUUCUUCCCUAUCAACUUUCGAUGUUUGGGUAGUGGCCAAACAUGGUUGCAACGGGUAACGGAGGGUUAGGGCUCGACCCCGGAGAAGGAGCCUGAGAAACGGCUACUACAUCCAAGGAAGGCAGCAGGCGCGCAAAUUACCCAAUCCCGAUUCGGGGAGGUAGUGACAAUAAAUACUGAUACAGGGCUCUUUUGGGUCUUGUAAUUGGAAUGAGUACAAUUUAAAUCCCUUAACGAGGAACAAUUGGAGGGCAAGUCUGGUGCCAGCAGCCGCGGUAAUUCCAGCUCCAAUAGCGUAUAUUAAAGUUGUUGUGGUUAAAAAGCUCGUAGUUGAACCUUGGGCCUGGCUGGCCGGUCCGCCUCACCGCGUGUACUGGUCCGGCCGGGCCUUUCCCUCUGCGGAACCCCAUGCCCUUCACUGGGUGUGGCGGGGAAGCAGGACUUUUACUUUGAAAAAAUUAGAGUGCUCCAGGCAGGCCUAUGCUCGAAUACAUUAGCAUGGAAUAAUGAAAUAGGACGUGCGGUUCUAUUUUGUUGGUUUCUAGGACCGCCGUAAUGAUUAAUAGGGACAGUCGGGGGCAUCAGUAUUCAAUUGUCAGAGGUGAAAUUCUUGGAUUUAUUGAAGACUAACUACUGCGAAAGCAUUUGCCAAGGAUGUUUUCAUUAAUCAGGAACGAAAGUUAGGGGAUCGAAGACGAUCAGAUACCGUCGUAGUCUUAACCAUAAACUAUGCCGACUAGGGAUCGGACGAUGUUAUUUUUUGACUCGUUCGGCACCUUACGGGAAAUCAAAGUGC